GUUCCUGGGGGCCCCAGCCAAGCCUCCGCUGGUCAGGGCCGACAUGGUGACAGAGAAGCAGGCGCGGGAGCUGAGUGUGCCUCAGGGUCCUGGGGCUGGAGCUGAGAUGAGCUCGUUCACACUCUGACCUCCCCUGGCAGAGAAAGCACUGGAGAAAUCAUCAACAACACUGUGCCCUUGGAGAACAGCAUUCCUGGGAACUGCUGCUCUGCCCUGUUCAAGAACCUGCUUCUCAAGAAGAUCAAGCGGUGUGAGCGGAAGGGCACUGAGUCUGUCACAGAGGAGAAGUGCGCUGUGCUCUUCUCUGCCAGCUUCACACUUGGCCCCGGCAAACUCCCCAUCCAGCU
rnacentral:lncRNA from 10 species